AUUUAUUUAUCUUGACUAUAAAUUAGGUGCAGAGCUGUUUGCAGAUUGUCCCCAGCGUGAGACCAGGAGCUUCUUGAGAGCAGGAACCAUCUUUUGCCAUUUUUUUUUAAUGUAACCCCAGGGCUUGGCCAGGGUGGGUGAACAAUAACGAUUGUUGCCUGGCUUGAAUUUGGGAUGAAAGGAAUCGCACUUGCCACCUGGGUCACCUUGGUCAAGUCAAUCAAUCAAUACAUAAGAAUUGGACUAGAUUCCUUCUGAAAUCAAUAGCGGAGCUUCCAUAGUACCAGGACAGUGUAGUACAGUGGACAGAGGUCUUGGGUUCUAAUCCUAACCCAUAUUGACUUGGACUUAAAAGGAAGGGGUUGGACUAGAUGUUCCUGAAGUCAUCUUCCAGCUCCAGUUCAAUGAGUCUUUAUUACAUAAAAAGCGCCCUGGAUUUGGAGAGAGAGGCCUUGGGUAGAUAUCUCAGUUCUGCUACUUGCUACAAGUCAGUCACCAAGCUUCUCAGUUUCUUUGGCUGUAGAAGGCAAGCAUCGAGCAACACAGCCCUCCUGCUCCAGAUUCUGACAGGGUGGUUCAGGGGGUCUCUGGGCACGCACCAGCGCUUGGCCCGGUGCCAGGCACACAUUCCUAAGAAGAAGAGGAAAGAGAAGAAAGCAAAAAACUCUUAAGCCAUCCCCAGCAAGAGAACCAGCCCAUAGCUUUUGGAGUGAGGCUUGCCUCCCUA
ensembl:lncRNA